GUGAACGCUGGCGGUAGGCCUAACACAUGCAAGUCGCACGGCAGCACAGUAAGAGCUUGCUCUUACGGGUGGCGAGUGGCGGACGGGUGAGGAAUACAUCGGAAUCUACUUUUUCGUGGGGGAUAACGUAGGGAAACUUACGCUAAUACCGCAUACGACCUACGGGUGAAAGCAGGGGAUCUUCGGACCUUGCGCGAUUGAAUGAGCCGAUGUCGGAUUAGCUAGUUGGCGGGGUAAAGGCCCACCAAGGCGACGAUCCGUAGCUGGUCUGAGAGGAUGAUCAGCCACACUGGAACUGAGACACGGUCCAGACUCCUACGGGAGGCAGCAGUGGGGAAUAUUGGACAAUGGGCGCAAGCCUGAUCCAGCCAUACCGCGUGGGUGAAGAAGGCCUUCGGGUUGUAGAGCCCUUUUGUUGGGAAAGAAAAGCAGCAGGUUAAUACCCCGCUGUUCUGACGGUACCCAAAGAAUAAGCACCGGCUAACUUCGUG
rnacentral:rRNA from 1 species